UCAUUUGUCAUGAUCUGAAAUGUGGAAUGGGGGAAUAAUGAAUGGGAAUACUGACAUUGCUUGCUCUUGGUAUGAAAAUACAACUCUAAUUUCUAUAGUGCAAUGACAAC